rnacentral:rRNA from 1 species
AGAGUUUGAUUCUGGCUCAGAACGAACGCUGGCGGCAUGCCUAACACAUGCAAGUCGAACGAGACCUUCGGGUCUAGUGGCGCACGGGUGCGUAACGCGUGGGAAUCUGCCCCUCGGUUGGGAAUAACACAGAGAAAUUUGUGCUAAUACCUUAUAAUGUCUUCGGACCAAAGAUUUAUCGGUGGUGGAUGUGCCCGCGUUGGAUUAGCUUGUUGGUGGGGUAACGGCCUACCAAGGCGAUGAUCCAUAGCUGGUCUGAGAGGACGAUCAGCCACGCUGGGACUGAGACACGGCCCAGACUCCUACGGGAGGCAGCAGCUAAGAAUAUUGGACAAUGGGGGAAACCCUGAUCCAGCCCAUGCCGCGUGAAUGAAGAAGGCCUUCGGGUUGUAAAGUUCUUUUAGUAGUGAAGAUGAUGACAGUAGCUACAGAAAAAGCACCGGCUAACUUCGUGCCAGCAGCCGC